AUGGCUCAGGACGAACGCUGGCGGCGUGCCUAAUACAUGCAAGUCGAACGGUCUUUCUAUGGAAGCUUGCUUCCACUGAAAAGAUAGUGGCGAACGGGUGAGUAACACGUGGGUAACCCUGCCCAUAAGAGGGGGAUAACAUCCGGAAACGGGUGCUAAUACCGCAUAGUUUUCUUGAUCGCAUGAUCGGGAAAGGAAAGACGGCCUUUGUGCUGUCGCUUAUGGAUGGACCCGCGGCGUAUUAGUUAGUUGGUGAGGUAACGGCUCACCAAGACGAUGAUACGUAGCCGACCUGAGAGGGUGAUCGGCCACAUUGGGACUGAGACACGGCCCAAACUCCUACGGGAGGCAGCAGAGGGAAUCUUCCGCAAUGGACGAAAGUCUGACGGAGCAACGCCGCGUGAGUGAAGAAAGGUUUUCGGAUCGUAAAACUCUGUUGUCAGAGAAGAACAAGUUGGAGAGUAACUGCUCCAGCCUUGACGGUAUCUGACCAGAAAGCCACGGCUAACUACGUGCCAGCAGCGGC
rnacentral:rRNA from 1 species